UAGGGAAUCUUGCGCAAUGGACGCAAGUCUGACGGAGCAACGCCGCGUGAGUGAAGAAGGAUUUCGGUUCGUAAAACUCUGUUGUUAGAGAAGAACAGCGCAUAGAGUAACUGGUAUGCGUGUGACGGUAUCUAACCAGAAAGCCACGGCUAACUACGUGCCAGCAGCCGCGGUAAUACGUAGGUGGCAAGCGUUGUCCGGAUUUAUUGGGCGUAAAGCGAGCGCAGGCGGUCAAUUAAGUCUGAUGUGAAAGCCCCCGGCUCAACCGGGGAGGGUCAUUGGAAACUGGUUGACUUGAGUGCAGAAGAGGAGAGUUGAAUUCCAUGUGUAGCGGUGAAAUGCGUAGAUAUAUGGAGGAACACCAGUGGCGAAGGCGACUCUCUGGUCUGUAACUGACGCUGAGGCUCGAAAGCGUGGGUAGCAAACAGG
rnacentral:rRNA from 1 species